UGGGGAAUAUUGGACAAUGGGCGAAAGCCUGAUCCAGCCAUGCCGCGUGUGUGAAGAAGGUCUUCGGAUUGUAAAGCACUUUAAGUUGGGAGGAAGGGCAUUAACCUAAUACGUUAGUGUUUUGACGUUACCGACAGAAUAAGCACCGGCUAACUCUGUGCCAGCAGCCGCGGUAAUACAGAGGGGGCAAGCGUUAAUCGGAAUUACUGGGCGUAAAGCGCGCGUAGGUGGUUUGUUAAGUAGGAUGUGAAAUCCCCGGGCUCAACCUGGGAACUGCAUUCAAAACUGACUGACUAGAGUAUGGUAGAGGGUGGUGGAAUUUCCUGUGUAGCGGUGAAAUGCGUAGAUAUAGGAAGGAACACCAGUGGCGAAGGCGACCACCUGGACUAAUACUGACACUGAGGUGCGAAAGCGUGGGGAGCAAACA
rnacentral:rRNA from 1 species